rfam:Xenopus tropicalis strain Nigerian scaffold_9093_contig_1, whole genome shotgun sequence.
CGCUACGGCCAUACCACCCUGAAAGCGCCCGAUCUCGUUUGAUCUCGGAAGCUAAGCAGGGACGGGCUUGGUUAGUACCUGGAUGGGAGACCGCCUGGAUUGGAGACCGCCUGGGAAUACCAGUAGAAGCGGCUA